rnacentral:rRNA from 1 species
CGAUGGGCCGACGUCGCAUGCUCCCGGCCGCCAGGUCGGCCGCGGGGAUUCGAUUAGAGUUUGAUCAUGGCUCAGAUUGAACGCUGGCGGCAUGCUUUACACAUGCAAGUCGAACGGUAACAGGCCGCAGGUGCUGACGAGUGGCGAACGGGUGAGUAAUGCAUCGGAACGUGCCCAGUCGUGGGGGAUAACGCAGCGAAAGCUGCGCUAAUACCGCAUACGAUCUAUGGAUGAAAGCGGGGGACCGUAAGGCCUCGCGCGAUUGGAGCGGCCGAUGUCAGAUUAGGUAGUUGGUGGGGUAAAGGCUCACCAAGCCAACGAUCUGUAGCUGGUCUGAGAGGACGACCAGCCACACUGGGACUGAAACACGGCCCAGACUCCUACGGGAGGCAGCAGUGGGGAAUUUUGGACAAUGGGCGCAAGCCUGAUCCAGCAAGCCGCGUGCAGAAGAAGGCCUUCAGGUUGUAAACUGCUUUUGUACGGAACGAAAAGGCUCUGGUUAAUACCUCGGGGCACUUGACGGUACCGUAAGAAUAAGCUCCGGCUAACUACGUGCCAGCAGCCGCGGGUAAUACGUAUGGUGCAAGCGUUAAUCCGGAAUUACUGGGGCCGUAAAGCUUUCUUCAAGUCGCGUUGUUUGUAAUGACUAGGUGGGAGGAAAUCCCCCAGGGCAUUAAACCUUGGGAAAUUGGCUUUUUGAUAACUUGCUAAGGGCAUGGGAGUUGCCUGACUAAGAGGGGUGGAUAUGGUAAAUUUCCCGGCCGUUGUAAGCUAAGUGGCAAAUUGGCCGGGAAGUAGUAUUGGCGGUGUAGGUAAACCACCCCCAUGGUGUAUGAUAUAGGAGUAAUU